UUUAUUUUUUUACUUUAUCGAUUAUUAUCUAAAAUAAAAAAAUUGCAUUCAGCAAUGUUUCAGAGAUUUAAACGAUUAAAAGCUUUUUCAAAUUUUGUCAUUCGAUGUGACUAGAAACGAAUGUGUACAGAUACUAUAUCAGACAAGUUAUCUUGCCAAAUACAAAGUGUCCUUACCUAAUACCUAUUCUUAUAAUUCUAAUUUUGAACAAAUUCUUUUCUAAAUAUAUAUCAGGUUGAACUAAACAUAACAUUUCGCAGGCUAUCUCGAUGAGUGCAUUUGAUUUUCUCUGUGAAAACAAUUUUGUGAAAAUUUUACGUGACAGAUUAUGAAAAAUGUGAUACUUGAAGCGAAUAUUCCAAUAAAUAUGAAAAUAGUCAUAUAGAAACAUCCGAAUAUUCAUUUAAAAAAUAUAUAUAUAUAAAAAUUGAAGAUAUUUGAAAUAAAAUAUUUAAAAUAUUUAAAUCAAUAAAUAAUUUCAUAUAUUAUAACCUUGAAUUUUCAAAGGACGUAUAACCUUCCCACAGAAAGGAUCGCACGUCGACUGUUCCAUUUCCGAUUGGAAACGCAAGAAUGUGUUUUACACGGACGUUACUUUGCGGUAACGACACCGGUUUCUAUAACUUAUGGUCAACCUUGACUUUCUAAGCAAUCUAAAAAGCGGUAACGAUGCAGCAUCCGUGAGCUAACGGUCCGGUGUCUGUAAAGAGUUUAACUGGUGGGACGCAAUAAUUCAGGUCCGUCUAUGGUCAGUGUGGAGCCAGCUGAAAGGGCUAAGAUAUUUAUGGGUUGCAGCUGAUCUUGGUCCAUGUAGAGCUUUUUCACAGUGAGAAUAAAACUAGCCCCGAUGUCAUCCAUGUCUUUCUUUCAUUGAUCUAUAUACUUAGUAUUGUUACUAUAUUUUUUUUUUAUAAUUCUGUUAGUUUAUGUAAAGAAAUCUAAUUCAAAAUUUUUUUAUUAACUAUUCAAAUUUGAAAAACUAAUUCAAAGAAGAAACCAUAAUCACUGGAGCUAACUUUCCAAUUCUCUGUUUAUCUCAAGAACUGUCUCUGCAGCUUUAUAUCAACGCAUGAUCGCAUAUGAGCACAAAAACGUUUCAAGCCAUCGGUAAUCCUUGGAAACUCGGUAUUGUAAUAUAAGUCUCUCGGAAAAACCCUUUCACGGCUAAGAGAAUUCUUUCAUCAUAAGUAUAGAUACAAUUCGAGGAAAUCUUCUUUGUGGUUCACCAUGUAGUGAAACAUACAUAAUAAAUGGCGUAUAUAAAGGGUGUUACUCGAAUCUAGGCCAAACAUAAAAUGAGAAAAAACAAAUAAAAAAUUCAUGAAACAAAAUUAGAUUCAAAGAUAUCAAGGAAUUGUAUGUUUAUCAGAAAAUGUGAUUCUUAUUGCUAUAGAAAAAAUUUAAAAUAAACAAUUUCAGAUAAACUACACAUCGAAGCAUCGAGUCACGGAUCCUUUAUCAUGUGGUAAUGCCACUGGAAGGAAAAAAAAAACAAGAAACAAGUAACCCCUUUGAGUCGAAGAGGGUACAUGCACCAAUGGUUAGAGGAGAGAAAAGAAGAGAGAGGUGUUUUGACGGGAUACGAAACGAUACUCUGGUUUCGUCUCUGUAGAAAGUUUUCUUUGACCGGAUACCGUAGGUAACGCUAAUGGAAGUUGGUGCAACAUUCGAAGGUGGUAGCUCGUGAAACGCGAUCAGGAUUUAACCCUCCGCGAUUCCCUCCCCGCCAGCUUUGCUAUCCGUAAUCCGCCUACGUCGAGUGGACACAGUGAGCGCACAAUAUCGAAGAAAUCCCUCACUCGGUUCCCUUGUUACUCACGCCAUAUGUGGUCCAAUUCGAACAGGCUCGUGGCAGUAUUACUAUUUUCGUCACGUGUCGUUACCUGACACGAGAUCGAGUUUCGCCGUUAGCUAACUUAGAUUGUUUCUUUUUCUCUUCUUCUUUUUCUCUUAUUCUCUUUUGUUUUGAUUCGAAAAUGUCAUAAAACGGUGUUUUCUAAUUUGUCCUGAGAUUAUUUUUUAUAAUAUUUAUAAUUUUUGAGUAACUUGCGUUUUUCUUUUAUCAAUGGGAAGUAAGGAAAUUUGGAAAAAUUAAUGAUAAUAAUGUUAGAUAUUAAAAAAAUUGAGAGUUAUUAUUAAAUAAAAAUAAGAGAAUUGAAAAUACUCUGCGAUUAGAUUAAAAAUUUGCUAUGGCAGAGAUUGCAUAAAAAGCACGUGUUUGUUUUUUUUUGAUUAAAAAAUGUUAAUAUGCAAAGAACUCGCGUACAAACUGAAAUAUUUAUAUAAUUUUAGUUAUUUUAGUUUAUUAUGUUUAUAUAAAAAAUAUAUUUAAAGUGAUUCAAUAUCUAAAGGAAGAAGAGAUAGCAACAUUUCCGCAGUCAUUUAUUGAAUUUCCGUGUUAUUGGUAAGAUACGUGUCAAACGAAGCAAAGUUAACACAGAUUUAAACUAGUUUGCUCGUUGACCAAUGCGUAAUCCUCAGGGAUUUGACACGUUCGAAUCAUGUGUUGGGGAAAUAACCACCGGUCUGGCAAACGGAGAAUCAACUUCCUGUGUUCUCGUCGCAUGCGCUCGACCUGACCAGUCGUAACGUAUUUAAAUGAGAUUGAUGCAUCGUUUCCUCUUAAACGACCACUGAUUGAAAGAAUGUGAAAAAUUGUUUUCACGUUCAGCCAUGCCUGCAUUUUUUUUUAAAUUUUAUUAAAAAUUGGAUUUUUCAAAUCGACGAUCAGAUAUCCAUAAAACAUGAUAAAAUUAUUAUAAAAAAUUUUAUCAAAUUAUAAAUCGUUUUACACAUAUUUUAUAUGUAUUUACACAGUAUUACAUUACAUUAAAAAAAAUCAAUAUCAAUCAAUAUCAAUAAAUCUUUUCAAACAUGAUUCUAUACAAAAAAAAAGAAAAAACAAAUUAAAUUCGUAUUUAUUAUUACAGAUAUUCACAAAAAGCAAGGAAAUAAAAAUACCAAUAAUCAUCCAAAGAAGAUGUAAUUAGUAAGAGAGAAAAGUUAUGAAAUCUUUGCUCAUUUAUCCGCUUACAAGAUACAAACAUCUUUCAACGGUAUCCUGUAACACGUGUUUGGUAUUUCAACAAGGAUCAGGGAACGAAUACGUCAUCAGGUGACCAGAUUUUGUGCGACAGAGAUCCGGAAUUUCAGAAGGCGGACGAACGAUACAGUUACAAGAUUUCAAGUUAAUGCGCAUUUGAUUUAUUAGGGCACGGCAAAAAAUCUACCCUUGACUCAUAACCCUUAUUUGACUCACAAGUCUCAGGUCAUCCUUAAAGAAAAUCGUGGCUCAAUAGUACCGCAGCCAAUAACGAGAACCAUUUGGAAUCUCUAUUGUUAAAUCAGAAACGCAACAAGCUUCUAGUGCAACUUCAGUUUUCGGAAAGGAAACCAUCAUUUUUAACCCAGCAUGAGACACCCUGUGUCCUUUUGUACAUAUGGUGAAGGUAUUGCAUCAAUAAUAGAUCAAGUUCUUGUUUCUAAAUUCGAGGAAUCUUGUGUGAUCUCGAGAUGCUCACAAUGUUUCUUAUUCUUUUAAUAAGUAGUAAGUUAAUUGUAAAAUAGUUUUGUUUCGAUUUUAUUAUAAAGCAUCAUACAGUAUGAUGAGUCUGAUGAAUUGGUCUGUCCUUGUUCAUUUUCUUUUUGCUAUUUUUUUGAUUGAAAUUGAAUGUAAGAUAAAAUUUGAAAAGAAAUUAUUUAUUAAUUCUGAAUAGAUAACCUGUCUGGUUAAUGUUUAAAUUUUAUUUUCGCUGAUAAGUAUUUGGAAUAUUUGAUUGGAUGAAUGAAGUAGAGAUCUAGAUUAGUGCAAAAAAUAUUCAUGCCUAUGGGGAAUAAAAGUGUUAUAAUCAGUGAAAUUGGCACAAGUAAGAAAUUUAUAUCUUAAAUCAUGAGAAAUGUAUAUUUCAAGCGUUGAAAGAAUCGAAUAUUUAUGGGUUAAAUAUAGAUACCUAAAAGAAAAAUAUAAUAAUGGGUGCAAAAUCGUGAAACAGAAACCAUAAAUGCCAUGCACCGCGAUGUGUCGUGCAUAUAACCAGCAUUUCAACAUCUGCCAUCAGACCACUAACAGGCUGACAGGCUGACCACGCAUUUGCGCAACUGUCGCCUCGUCGCUUCUCGGCCUGAUCGUUUAUAAGCUGUCCAAUGACCGAUGAUAAUGAUAAUUUUCAGCUUCCAAAGAGGUGUCACCCAGAUGUUACGCGCUAUCAAAGCGCAUUAUCGGCUGCGUUGGAUAGAGGCAAUGCAACGAGAAUUACAUAUGUAGAGCUCGAGUUUGUAUAAUUAUGAUCAUGUGGCAAUUGUAAAGCCAUAAUGGUAAAGGAUGAAUUCGAUUGAAAGAUUGUUUUAGUUUAGUUUUUGAUAUUAAUUAUUUAAAUAUCUAGACUCUUUGCAAAUAUUCGAUCGAAAAAUAUCGAACAGUGCCAUUGCAUUUUUCCUGUCAAAGAAUGUCUCGAUUUUCAUUGAGACCAGUGCAGUCAAUUUGACUUUAUGACAUUUUUAGGCUAAUUAUCGGUCCAUAGAUGGAUCACGCUUGUUUGGCUUUCAAAUGGUUAACAAGAGAUCUAUUGAGAUAUAGAAUUGCAUUGGAAAUGAAAUUUCACAUUUCUAUUUAAAAAUUAGAAACUGUUUUUAUCGAGCGAUAGGGUAUUGUCAGAGAAGUUAUUAAUUGCCAUUUCUUUUUAUCUUUGCACAGGAUUCUUUUGCAAGAGCAAAGGGUGGCAAAGACAAAUUUAUCCGAGGAAAAGUUAGGCGUAUUCGAGACACAAGUUCUCAAGGGGAGAUAGCAGCUCGAGGAUAGACGCAAAGCUGUCUAAUGGUGUCACCUGAGAUCAUAAUGGAUGGCGGUCGAGAAUAAAGACUUACUUAUUCCAUCGAAACGACGUGUUCUCCUGCAUUUUUCUUAACUUUUGAUGAGACAACAAAUUAAAAAAAAAAAUGAAUAUGUUGAUUUUUCCAUGUAAUUUCACGUUAUGACUUAAUGAUCAAAUGAUCUUAUAGUCUGAAAUAAAAAAAUAUUAUAAAUAUUGAUAUAUUCCAAUAUUAAUAAUACAA